rnacentral:rRNA from 1 species
UACAGAGGUCCCGAGCGUUGUUCGGAUUCAUUGGGCGUAAAGGGUGCGUAGGCGGUCUGCUAAGUUUGAUGUGAAAUCCCGGGGCUCAACCCUGGAAUGGCAUUGAAUACUGGCGGACUAGAGUACCGGAGAGGAAACUGGAAUUUACGGUGUAGCAGUGAAAUGCGUAGAUAUCAGGAGGAACACCGGUGGUGUAGACGGCUUUCUGGACCGUAACUGACGCUGAGACACGAAAGCGUGGGUAGCAAACAGG